CCUGAGCGCCCGUCUGUUAACUGUGUGGGGCGUGGCUCCCUGCAGGCCCCGCCCCCGCUGCCGGUCACGUGUCUCUCUGGCAUCCACUGAACGUAGCCCGCGGCGCCAGCCAUCCAAGUUUCCUCGGGCGCGACGCCACGCGAGCGGUGGCCGUGGAGCGAGCGGUUCCCUGGGCCGGCACCACGGGGCCCGCGGCUCACACCAGCGGGGUUCGAACAGCGGCCUGCCCUAGAUUAACUCGGGACCAGGCCGGGCGCGGUGGCUCACGCCUGUAAUCCCAGCACUUUGGGAGGCCAGGGCAGGUAGAGCACCUGAGGUCAGGAGUUCGAGAGCAGCCUGGCCUACAUGGCAAAACCCCGUCUCUACUAAAAAUACAAAAAUUAGCCGGGCUUGGUGGCAGGCGCCUGUAAUCCCAGCUACUCGGGAGGCCGAAGCACAAGAAUCGCUUGAACCCAGGAGGCGGAGGUUGCAGUGAGCGGAGAUACACCACUGCACUCCAGCCUGGGUGACAGAGCGAGACUCCGUCUCAAAAAAAAGAAAAAGUCGGGGACCUGGCAAGCUGCGUAACUGCUCUGUGUCUCGGUGUCCUCACCUGUGAUGCGGGGACAAAGCUGAAGAAGCCAGCAACCUGAAAACACCAAUGGGCGCAGACAGAAGAACCUGCUUGCUCCAGCCAGAGAUGUAUGAGGACUUGAAGAUGAAAAAGGAAACUUCAGGAAAGUUGUCUUCUCUAGGUCACAUAAAGCUGGACUCAAACUUUUUGCCUCUACAAUUUUUUUUCACAAUACUACAGUGACACCAAAAGGACUUAGGGAAAAGAAAAGGGCACCGACCCACCACAGACAGCCAUGAGCUUUACAGUGCCCAUCUCAUGCCUUCAAAAGAAUCACUUCAUCAGGCACUGAAAUUUU